CGUCUUUGGUCUGAAGUUGGAUUUCUGUUUUUCUACAGUUUUUAAAGGCAUCGAGCAGUAACACAGGGCACACAGUGAGAGCAGAAAAUACAAAAAUAAACUGUGCACACGAACACAACACGCAUAAAACGCACAAACGCACCUCUGUGGCAAGAAAAGGGUUAAAAAGGACAAGGCCAAAGUGCGGCUCAGAGCCAGACUCAGAGCCAGACUCAGAGCCAGACUCAGAGCAGAACACGACGGCUCAUUUUACAUCAGACAUGAGUUUAAACAUGUGACAUCAGCCCAGUCACAUGUUUAUGUACAACACGACUGAAAAGAGCUCUGCAGAACAGCUGCACCUGAGACAGAGGAGGGCCUCAGGACGAGGUCCUCAGGACGAGGUCCUCAGGACGAGGUCCUCAGGACGAGGUCCUCAGGACGAGGUCCUCAGGCAGGAGGUCCUCAGGCAGGAGGUCCUCAGGCAGGACGAGGUCCUCAGGCAGGACGAGGUCCUCAGGCAGGACGAGGUCCUCAGGCAGGACGAGGUCCUCAGGCAGGACGAGGUCCUCAGGCAGGACGAGGUCCUCUACUUUUGUCCUGAGGGUUGUGGAGCCUCUGAGCCUCCAGUUUGAGACUUUGUUAUUGCUCCAGGACUAAACCAGGACUAAACCAGGACUAAACCAGGACUAAACCAGGACUAAACCAGGACUAAACCAGGACUAAACCAGGACUGUUUCAUGUGGGUAGGUCCAGUGAUUACAGAAACAUUUAGCAUAAACCAGGUCACACAUCUGUGUGUGACACACAGAGACCUCCGCCUGAGGGCCCUGAGGGCCUCGCCCUGAGGGCCUCGCCCUGAGGGCCCUGAGGGCCUCGCCCGUCUCAGGUAAAACUAGAGCCGUUCUGCAGAGUGAUGAUGUCACGGCGACGCAGCCAAUAGAAAUGUGUUUCUGGGCAGAGUCUGGCGCCUGAUUGGAGGGUAAAGGCUUCUGUGGGCGGGUCUUAGAGAGAGAACAGAGACUUUAGCUCACAGAAAGUGUGUCAGAUGCCCUCCCUGUGUGUCAGAUGCCCUCCCUGUGUGUCGGAUGCCCUCCCUGUGUGUCGGAUGUGAAUGAGACCACACUUUUGACAGUAUUUUGAUACUAUUUGUGUGUACUUUUGACAGUAUUUUUGUGUGUACUUUUGACAGUAUUUUGAUAGUAUUUGUGUGUAUUUUUGAUAGUAUUUGUGUGUACUUUUGACAGUAUUUCUGUGUGUACUUUUGACAGUAUUUUGACAGUAUUUCUGUGUGUAUUUUGACAGUAUUUGUGUGAGCUAAAGCCCGUCUCUGUCACAGACUGCAGUAAAGGCUUCUGUUUGAAGGAUUCUGUGGUGAGGAAAUAACUUGAGCUGAAUCAGAUGAACUCAGAGUCCAGAUCUGAGACGUCUGUCGUUUAAAUGAACAUUUAAUUCAGAAUAUUCUUAUAAACUGAAACAUGGACGUUUCUUUUGCCCAUUUCCACAUUAAAGGUCAAACACUGACCCCUGCCCCAUGUCCUAACGUCCUCAAACACUGGAGCUGAGUUUUAUUUCAUUCACACAUGUUUGAGUCACACUUUAUUAUUAGUCUGUUACACCUCCAAAGAUCAAAAUGCGACGUUCCACCUUGUGAUGUCAUCAAGUGGUGAUACAGGAAGUGCUCCACUGUGUUUUUAAACUCAGCUCCUUUUACCUUUAGUUCAGUCGAGAUAAGAGAC
ensembl:lncRNA